ACCCCAAACCGACACAGGUGGUCAGGUAGAGAAUACCAAGGCGCUUGAGAGAACUCGGGUGAAGGAACUAGGCAAAAUGGUGCCGUAACUUCGGGAGAAGGCACGCUGAUAUGUAGGUGAAGUCCCUGCGGACGGAGCUGAAAUCAGUCGAAGAUACCAGCUGGCUGCAACUGUUUAUUAAAAACACAGCACUGUGCAAACACGAAAGUGGACGUAUACGGUGUGACGCCUGCCCGGUGCCGG
rnacentral:rRNA from 1 species